CUCACAGUGCCGCCGCACGCCGGGUGAUGGCGUCGGGCUCCUCGGGCCCGGCCCGCCGCCAGGCCCCGCUGCCACAGGGGAGGUGCGGCCGGAGCAGGGGUUCAGAGCAUUAUGGCGGCAAGACUCAAGAAGAACAUGAGGGAAAGGACAAGAAGCAAACCUGUACAUGGAAUAUACAUAUCCUGAACUCCAGCCACCUGUAAAUCAUCUCGCUCUCUGUUGCCGACAGGUGGUCCAAGUCAUCAACCACAGGCCUCCAAUUUCUCUUUGGCAGCAGAACAGUAGUCGUUCAGAUUAAAGAAGAAUUUAGCAAGCAGGACCACACACAGCAAAGGAAGGAUGAAGAAUGGAGAAGAUACAGCCUAGGUUCUCCCUUCAAAACUGCUCUUUAUAAAUACCUUUGAAUUUAAAAGUCUGUUUCAGUGUUAUGAAUGUAAAAAACAUCAUAUUACUCUCUUAUGAGCAGGGGGUUCCUUAUCCCUUUCAUUUGCUUUAUUAAACCCUUCCAGUUCUGUGCCUACACUCCCUCUGCAAUGGCAAUAUCAUUACUUUGUUUAAAACAAAUUCAAGGUGUUCAUUCUUUACUUGCAGAGCAUUCUGAAACAUCUGCAUGUGUGUCAUAUGGAAGGUCUUACACAUUCACAUUCCUGAUUUCACUUACAUAGAAGCAAAAAUGAAUUCUCAGAUCUUACUGCAAUACAGGUACAAUUUUAUAUCUAAACUUACUCACAACUUUUCUAUAUUGUAGCAUUAAGAUUUCAUAUAAGUAUUUAAUCUAAAACCAUGAGUAUAUGCUGUCAAAUUCUACCUUUUUUAACAUAGCUUAGUCCAACAACAGACGACCGAAGAGUGAAGGAAGCACUUACCUGAAUUAGAAUCUGGAAAAGACAAAUAGCAAAUAUUGGUUUUCUGAAGAGUGGGGAAAAGAAAAGAGUUGUUAGAUUUCCUGAAACCAUUAAACUAAAACCAAAUUAUAUGUAUUUAUACAGGAACCAUGACUUACCUCUUUAUCUGUGAGUUUUGAA